UACGUAGGUGGCAAGCGUUAUCCGGAAUUAUUGGGCGUAAAGCGCGCGCAGGCGGUUUCUUAAGUCUGAUGUGAAAGCCCACGGCUCAACCGUGGAGGGUCAUUGGAAACUGGGGAACUUGAGUGCAGAAGAGAAAAGCGGAAUUCCACGUGUAGCGGUGAAAUGCGUAGAGAUGUGGAGGAACACCAGUGGCGAAGGCGGCUUUUUGGUCUGUAACUGACACUGAGGCGCGAAAAGCGUGGGGAGCAAACAGG
rnacentral:rRNA from 1 species